rnacentral:lncRNA from 1 species
CCACAUGGUGGCUCACAACCAUCCGUAAUGAGAUCUGACUCCCUCUUCUGGAGUGUCUGAGGACAGCUACAGUGUACUUGCAUAUAAUAAAUAAAUAAAUAAAUAAAUAAAUAAAUAAAUCUUUAAAAAAAAUAAAUAAAUAAAAAAAAAAUAAAUGUGCCCAGAUAACCUUUCAGUUUAGGAGUCUAUAGAUCCAGCCUGCUACUUCCCACUCUGUCCCUAAGAAAAUAGUAGCAGUGCUAAGGGGACUGACCUUGCCCUGGGUGCUAGCUCUGUCUCCACCACGCUCAUGUCCCGUGAUGUACAAGCUCAUCUCUCUUGGAGCAUGGCCAUGUUACUAUGCAAGGAGAUGAUGUGGCUGUGGGGCUGCUUCACCCUCAAACUCUUAAGAGGGGUGGUAGCUUCAUUCAUGUCUGAGGGUUCACAUGCCCAUUCUGUACACAGAGCAAGUCCCUCCACGGGGCUACGUGACCUUCACCAGCAGUGAUGAGAAUACCAUGGAAAGCGAGGGCCUCUGCUACAGAGACGUCACUUCCCCCAUCAAUGAACAGGAUGUGGAGAGCAGUAGCAGCAGCAGCCGGGGUAUGCACCCCAAUCCUUUUGUGUUCCCAUAGAGGAGGAGAUAGAGAAGGCCUCAGUUCUUGUGAGGUAAGCCAGAGUUGGCCAUGGGCAGGUGACGGCAAGCAUCCCGAUUCUGGAGGUCCCACAGGUUGAUGAGGCACACAGUACUCAAAGGGUCAGUCCAAGGGCUUCCUGACAAUCUUCCCAGCAGGAGGCGUGUGCUAUGACCUGGCAGUGCCUUACCAAGUUCCUGUCUCAUGCCAAGCUCUGCUGUAGAGGUGUGGAAUUGAUGAGCACACAAUAAAAAAUAAAACCAACCAACCAACC